rnacentral:piRNA from 1 species
UUAGCAAUGCUGUGAAUAAAAGAAAGAUUU